CACGAGAAGUCAAAGUAUUAACAUCAUGUUCAAGCAAAUUUUAAUUUUUGUGAUUUAUUUGAGUUUUUCGAGCUGUACUUCAAUUGGACAAGAUGAAAAUGGACAAACUUUGCUGUGGGUACAAUACAAAUCAUCUCCAGUUUAUCCUGAGGAGAGAAAUAUAACGUUGAGUUUUGAAUUUGAUGGAAAAGAUAGAAAUGUUGACCAUAUUUCGAUUGUUUAUUUUGAUUAUGAACCUACUCCUUUUACAACUGUUACACUUAUCGAAGGAGGACCAUCAACGGAUAACGUCAAAUCAUCGAUGGGAUGUGACAAAUGCACAUAUUUUGCUGUCAAACAACGGAUUUACGGAUUUUACAAACAAUAAAUAUAUUUUUUUUAUAAAAUCGUCGUUAAACUAAUU